rnacentral:rRNA from 1 species
UACGUAGGGGGCAAGCGUUGUCCGGAAUCAUUGGGCGUAAAGAGCGCGUAGGCGGUCCGAUAAGUCGGUUGUGAAAACUGGGGGCUCAACCCUCAGAGGCCGACCGAUACUGUCGGGCUAGAGUCCGGAAGAGGCGAGUGGAAUUCCUGGUGUAGCGGUGAAAUGCGCAGAUAUCAGGAGGAACACCAAUGGCGAAAGCAGCUCUCUGGGACGGUACUGACGCUGAGACGCGAAAGCGUGGGGAGCGAACCGG